UGGGGAAUAUUGCACAAUGGGCGCAAGCCUGAUGCAGCCAUGCCGCGUGUAUGAAGAAGGCCUUCGGGUUGUAAAGUACUUUCAGUCGGGAGGAAGGUGGUAAGGUUAAUAACCUUAUCAAUUGACGUUACCGACAGAAGAAGCACCGGCUAACUCCGUGCCAGCAGCCGCGGUAAUACGGUGGGUGCAAGCGUUAAUCGGAAUUACUGGGCGUAAAGCGCACGCAGGCGGUUGAUUGAGUCAGAUGUGAAAUCCCCGGGCUUAACCCGGGAAUUGCAUCUGAUACUGGUCAGCUAGAGUCUUGUAGAGAGGGGUAGAAUUCCAUGUGUAGCGGUGAAAUGAGUAGAGAUGUGGAGGAAUACCGGUGGCGAAGGCGGCCCCCUGGACAAAGACUGACGCUCAGGUGCGAAAGCGUGGGGAGCAAACAGG
rnacentral:rRNA from 1 species